UACAGAGGUCCCUAGCGUUGUUCGGAUUCACUGGGCGUAAAGGGUGCGUAGGUGGUCGGGUAAGUCUGAUGUGAAAUCUCCGAGCUUAACUCGGAAACUGCAUCGGAUACUAUUCGGCUCGAGGGUUGGAGGGGGGACUGGAAUGCUUGGUGUAGCAGUGAAAUGCGUAGAUAUCAAGCGGAACACCAGUGGCGAAGGCGAGUCCCUGGACAACUCCUGACACUGAGGCACGAAAGCUAGGGGAGCAAACAGG
rnacentral:rRNA from 1 species